GCCCCUGUAGCUCAGUUGGUUAGAGCACGUCCUUGGUAAGGACGAGGUCUCCGGUUCGAUUCCGGUCGGGGGCU
rnacentral:tRNA from 1 species